GUGAGCGGCGCUGCGGGCGGGUCCAGCGGGGCUGCGGGGGGUGAGCGGCGCUGCGGGCGGGUCCCGCGGGGCUGCGGGGGGUGCCCCUGCCCGCCAUGUCGCAGCGAAGCCCCCGCAGGGCGGGCCCCGAUGGCGGCCGCGGCCCGGCCCGGCCCCGCGCCCCGCGCCGGCUGAGGACGGGGCGGCCUCGUGAGGAGACGGCAGCGGCAGAGCCCGCGUCCGAGCAGCCUGGCGGAGGAUAAAGAGUGAAGUGAAGAAGAUGGUGCUCCUGAGAAGUCAAAGAGAAAGCCACGUGAUGUGACAGGUCCAGGAGGUCUCAGAGACCCGAGUGAAGGGUGGACAGCUGUGGAGGGACAGCUACAGAAGCUACCCCUGUUCUUCAGUGUGACACCAUCCUCUCAGUGAACACCUUGUUUCUGUGACAGAUGAGGGAUGGGACUGAUGACUUUGAAGAUUGUGCCUGGAAUGCUAGAAGUUUAAGCAAACCUAGCUACAGGAGAAGAAACAGUUGGCAGUGUCUGCACUUAGAAGAUUCCUGAAGUUUCAUCUUUGUUAUCUGUGGGUUCAAGAAGGCUACAGCCAAAGUGCAGGCAGUGCUGCUUCUGGUUCUGAACAUCUGCUGCAACCUGUGUACUCAGUUGUCAGUUUAAAAAAAGUUGUAAUUCUGCCCCAGAGUGUCCUUCCUGCUUUUGCUGUGCUCUUGUUGAAGCCCUGAGAGUUGUGACCUUCCUUCUCCUGGGCAGCUCUGCUCAAAACACUGUUCUCCCAGCCAGAUUCUAAAGCACUGGUGUUUGAAUCCAUGCUUACAAUAAAUCUGAAAAUAUUGUA